GUGCACCUUCCAUAGAGAAUAGCUUCUAUCGAGAGAGUAUACCAUCUGCUAGGGGAUGUGUAACUCCCGACAAAAAUAAAGAUGGUAUUCGUAUGGUAUAGUCCAACACGAUUUUGACCUAUACGAGUCCGUUGGAGUCUGUCAUUAAGCCAGCCAAGGUAUAUCCUGGCAAAAGAUGCUUGGUGCAACCAAUAGCCAAGCUGGGCGAUAUUCCUGGACCAUCGCAUGAAUAUGUUCAUGUCACAUCAAAUAUCGCCACAGUUCCGGGCUCCAAAGACACUCUUUCCAGGGAGAGCAGCUCAAAUGACUCAGCUCGAAUAGCACCUGAAUUAUGUACCCCGAAAAAAUUUAAAGAUGAUAUUCUUCCCGGUGAAAGCCCUUUUACAGCUGUCACCAGUACGAUUUCUGCAAGUGCCACAGUUUCGAGUGUAAGGAGGCUGAAUUUGAAAGCAGUGGGAAUUACACAGCAGAAGCAUUUGUCCCCUCGCAACAAAAUUUCGUAUGAGGGCGUAAAAAAAUUGAAGAAAUUGGUACAUCGUCAAGAGGUGAGAAAUAAAAAUAUAAAAGCUGACCUUAAAAAUUCGCAGUCGGCCCUUUUGCAAAAUUUUGAAAAUGUGAAUAAGUACACAAGAAACUUUAUUUUGUCCCAAAAUAAAAAUCAAAAGUUGAAACCGCGCGGUAGAAGGUUUUCACUUGAGGUAAAAUUUUUGCUUUGUCAAUAUUCAAGCAAAGCGGAAAGGGUUACCGAUUCCUACAAUUUUUACCUUCAGUAAAAUGCUUGUAAACGUUCUACAACAUACACCUUCUUAUACUGGAAUUAAUAACCAUAUGUUCCAGCAUUUAAAGGUAUGAGUGAGUACCUAACAUGUAUCUGUAUUGGUAAUUGUACUAAAUUAAUGAAGUUGUUAUUUUACUUUGAAUUAGGAACUUGUUUAAGUUCUCAUUUUCUGAUUCAUAACAUGAUUUUGCUUCUUGAGCAAAUGUUUCUGGUUUCAAUAAGAAACACCUUUCACAAAUUAAUGGUACUUGGCGUUUCGCCUAUUUAUUUACUGCAAUAAAAAUUUGUAAAUGCU